rnacentral:rRNA from 1 species
UACGGGGGGAGCAAGCGUUGUUCGGAUUUACUGGGCGUAAAGGGCGCGUAGGCGGCCACUGCAAGUCAGUUGUGAAAUCUCCGGGCUUAACCCGGAAAGGUCAACUGACACUGCAGGGCUAGAGUGCAGAAGGGGCAACUGGAAUUCUCGGUGUAGCGGUGAAAUGCGUAGAUAUCGAGAGGAACACCUGCGGCGAAGGCGGGUUGCUGGGCUGACACUGACGCUGAGGCGCGAAAGCCAGGGGAGCGAACGGG